GGAUGUAAGGGUGAUCUGGCUGUGACAUGUCACCCCACUGAUCGCCAGGGUUGAUUCGGCUGAUCUGGCUGGAUAGGCGGGUGUCCCUUUCCUCCCUCACCACAUCAUGUGCAUCCCUCCUGAAGCUGCGCGCUAGGUAGAAGAGGACGGCCUUCCCUGAAGAGGCGGACCGGUCUUCGGUAUACGUAGCUGUGCUCCCCUGCUAGAACCUCCAAACGAGCUCUCAAGGUCCAUACAGUGAGGACCAGGUAAAGCACAUGACAAAGCAGCACUUAAGUCAUUCAGUUAAUCUAAAGUGCAUUCUCUU
ensembl:misc_RNA 7SK 7SK RNA